rnacentral:rRNA from 1 species
AUACGGAGGAUGCAAGCGUUAUCCGGAUUUAUUGGGUUUAAAGGGUGCGUAGGCGGUUUGCUAAGCGGGAGGUGAAAUGCCGGCGCUCAACGUCGGAAGUGCCUCCCGAACUGGUGGACUGGAAUGACUCUGCCGUGGGAGGAAUGUGUAGUGUAGCGGUGAAAUGCUUAGAGAUUACACAGAACACCGAUUGCGAAGGCAUCUCACGAAGGGUUGAUUGACGCUGAGGCACGAAAGCGUGGGGAUCAAACAGGAUUAGAUACCCUGGUAGUCCACGCAGAAAACGAUGAUGGCUAACCGCUGGUUUAUUCGGAUCAGUGGCCAAGCGAAAGCGAUAAGCCAUCCACCUGGGGAGUACGACCGCAAGGUUGAAACUCAAAUGAAUUGACGGGG